rnacentral:rRNA from 1 species
UUAAGUGACUAAGCGUACAAGGUGGAUGCCUUGGCAAUCAGAGGCGAAGAAGGACGUGCUAAUCUGCGAAAAGCUUGGAUGAGUCGAUAAGAGGCGUUUAAUCCAAGAUGUCCGAAUGGGGAAACCCAGUAGAUGAAGAAUCUACUAUCACUUACUGAAUCCAUAGGUAAGUGAGGCAAACCGGGAGAACUGAAACAUCUAAGUACCCCGAGGAAAAGAAAUCAACCGAGAUUUCGUUAGUAGCGGCGAGCGAACGCGAAGGAGCCUGUUAGUGAUAAUGACAGAGACAGAGGAACAAGCUGGGAAGCUUGGCGAUACAGGGUGAUAGCCCCGUACUCGAAGUCCAGGUCAUGGUACUAAGCUAACGAUAAGUAGGGCGGGACACGUGAUAUCCUGUUUGAAGAUGGGGGGACCAUCCUCCAAGGCUAAAUACUCCUGAUUGACCGAUAGUGAACCAGUACUGUGAAGGAAAGGCGAAAAGAACCCCGGUGAGGGGAGUGAAAUAGAACCUGAAACCUUGUACGUACAAGCAGUGGGAGCCCUUUAAGGGUGACUGCGUACCUUUUGUAUAAUGGGUCAGCGACUUAUAUUUUGUAGCGAGGUUAACCGAAUAGGGGAGCCGAAGGGAAACCGAGUCUUAACUGGGCGUCUAGUUGCAAGGUAUAGACCCGAAACCCGGUGAUCUAGCCAUGGGCAGGUUGAAGGUUGGGUAACACUAACUGGAGGACCGAACCGACUAAUGUUGAAAAAUUAGCGGAUGACUUGUGGCUGGGGGUGAAAGGCCAAUCAAACCGGGAGAUAGCUGGUUCUCCCCGAAAUCUAUUUAGGUAGAGCCUUGAGCGGACACCUUCGGGGGUAGAGCACUGUUUCGGCUAGGGGUCCAUCCCGGAUUACCAACCCGAUGCAAACUACGAAUACCGAAGAGUGAUACUCAGGAGACACACGGCGGGUGCUAACGUCCGUCGUGGAGAGGGAAACAACCCAGACCGCCAGCUAAGGUCCCAAAGUCUAUAUUAAGUGGGAAACGAAGUGGGAAGGCUUAGACAGCUAGGAUGUUGGCUUAGAAGCAGCCAUCAUUUAAAGAAAGCGUAAUAGCUCACUAGUCGAGUCGGCCUGCGCGGAAGAUGUAACGGGGCUCAAAUAUAGCACCGAAGCUGCGGCAUCAGACGAAAGUCUGUUGGGUAGGGGAGCGUUCUGUAAGCGGAUGAAGGUGAAUCGAGAGGUUUGCUGGACGUAUCAGAAGUGCGAAUGCUGACAUAAGUAACGAUAAAACGGGUGAAAAACCCGUUCGCCGGAAGACCAAGGGUUCCUGUCCAACGUUAAUCGGGGCAGGGUGAGUCGGCCCCUAAGGCGAGGCUGAAAAGCGUAGUCGAUGGGAAACGGGUUAAUAUUCCCGUACUUGGAUAAACUGCGAUGUGGGGACGGAGCAGGUUAGGUUAUCGCACUGUUGGAUAUGUGCGUUUAAGUUGGUAGGUGGGAAGUUUAGGCAAAUCCGGACUUCCUUAACACUGAGAGAUGAUGACGAGGCUCUACGGAGCUGAAGUAACCGAUACCACACUUCCAGGAAAAGCCACUAAGCUUCAGGUUUAUCUAAACCGUACUGAAAACCGACACAGGUGGUCAGGUAGAGAAUACUCAGGCGCUUGAGAGAACUCGGGUGAAGGAACUAGGCAAAAUAGCACCGUAACUUCGGGAGAAGGUGCGCCGGCGUAGAUUGUAAGGGCUUGCCCCUGAAGGUUGAACCGGUCGAAGAUACCAGCUGGCUGCAACUGUUUAUUAAAAACACAGCACUCUGCAAACACGAAAGUGGACGUAUAGGGUGUGAUGCCUGCCCGGUGCUGGAAGGUUAAUUGAUGGUGUAAUCGAAAGAGAAGCUCCUGAUCGAAGCCCCAGUAAACGGCGGCCGUAACUAUAACGGUCCUAAGGUAGCGAAAUUCCUUGUCGGGU